AUUGAACGCUGGCGGCAGGCCUAACACAUGCAAGUCGAACGAGUGGCGGACGGGUGAGUAAUGUCUGGGAAACUGCCUGAUGGAGGGGGAUAACUACUGGAAACGGUAGCUAAUACCGCAUACCAUCGGAUGUGCCCAGAUGGGAUUAGCUAGUAGGUGGGGUAAAGGCUCACCUAGGCGAAGAUCCCUCGCUGGUCUGAGAGGAUGACCAGCCACACUGGAACUGUGACAGGGUCCAGCCUCCUACGGGAGGCAGCAGUGGGGAAUAUUGCACAAUGGGCGCAAGCCUGAUACAGCUAUGCCGCGGGUAUGAAGAAGGCCUUUGGGUUGUAAAGUACUUUCAGCGGGGAGGCGUUACACGCAGAAGAAGCACCGGCUAACUCCGUGCCAGCAGCCGCGGUAAUAC
rnacentral:rRNA from 1 species